CCGGACGCCAAGAAUGGGUCCGGUUGGACAGAGGGCGCCGGCUCUUUCGGUCCGGCGCCUCUCACGCCCAGAUUGCUCAACAAGGAGGAUUUGGAAAUGAGAA
rnacentral:sRNA from 1 species